rnacentral:lncRNA from 1 species
UUUUUCUUUUUCUUUUUCUUUUUACUUCAGCUCAUCUCAACCCUACAUACACAGAGAAAGCUGAAACUGUCAAGUUGAGGCUAUGCAUGUAAGCACUGCAGCAGAUGGAGAGCUCACACCAUCAUCCCUAUCCCCAUACUUCAGCAACAUCUCUAAACAAAUACACUAAAUCUCCUCCAAUGAAGAAAGCCCUCAAAUAUUUUGAAUGCACAGAAUUUUGUGAAAAUCUUUUUUUUUUUCUGCCCAAUCAGUAGGUGUGGCUUAAGAGGAGGACUGCCUGUCAUAAGAAAAUGUCCUAAAUGUUAACCAGAGAUAAAGUAAAUACAAAAUUAGGCUAUUUCUAUUCCAUAUUUUUAAUGACAUAUACCACGCUUUAUGGAAAAUAUACAAAAUUAUGUUAAGGCCCCUGAUUUAAUGUUAAAAGAUACUUUGCAUCUUCAUCUGUGGAUUUCCAUCAAUGCACAGAGAAUAUUAUAGACACAAUCUUUCAGACAUGUGAAGAAAUGAAAUGUAAAUCUAUCUGAACAGCUUUAGAAAAAAAUUUAUUCUGUAUUCAAAAUAACUGAGUGGGGCCAUAUAGUAGUCUACUAGUGCUAGAUAGAUGGUGCUAGAUAACAAACAACGCUAAAGUUCUCAAGAGCCAACAACAACUAGCAAUCAUUAAUCACUUACGGGCAUAAAGAUAAACUGUGGCUCAGCUAGGAUAAUCCACUUGCCUCUGAUUUGCAGUUUGGGUUCAAGUUUACUCUACACACCUCCUCAUUCUUUUUGAAACAGCUGACUAACUUGAACAUGCUCUCCUCACGCAAAUGCAAAAACAUAAGAGAGAGCAGGAACACAUGCUCUCUCUCAUAGACUUGACACUUCCACUAACACUCCAUUGGUCAAAGUGAUUCCCUUAGCUAAACCCAACACCAAGGGGAAAGGAAAUUUAUUCCAGCCAUAACUGGAAAUACUGCCAAGUCACAUGGCAGACCAGUAAUAACCCAAUUUCUCACCAUCAAAGUGUAAAUUCGUGUACGUCUAAUUAUAAGACUCAUGCACUUUACCUUGAGUCAUGCUGCCCUGAAAUAUUAUUUUGUUUUUUCACAUAUAUGUUCUCAUUUAAUCUUAACCACCUUAAUCUUAGGAAGGAGGUACCACUGACUACAUUUUACAGAUGAAGGAACUCAGUAAGGUUGAAUAACUCAGCCAAUGACAAAGAGUUAAGCAAUGGCAGAACUGAAGUUCAAAUCAGGUCUCUUUGAAUGAGUGCUCUUUAAAAUGUGAAGGAAUUCAAUGAGUUUACAGCACUUUCCAAUGUGUCCCAAAAGCCAUUCAUUGCAUGCACUAUUCAGAAAGCCUUCACCCAGCGCUUGGUGUGUGAGGGGCACCGCACAAAGCUCUAACACUACAGACAAGGCCUCAGAAUAAACAAAUCUGUGAACACAAAACCUUGGACUUGAGCUCUGUGUCCAGGUCAAGUAAAUAACAUCCUUAGUCAAUUCAAAUCACUCAUGUCUUGCUUGAUAAACAAUGAGCUAUUUUACAGCAUUACAGUAAUUCCCAGUCACACACAGCCCACCUCCUCUUAGUCACCGGUAUUUAUUUUGGCUUUACCUGCCUAGCCACUUCAAGACAUAUUAUUCCUCCAAGUAUCAAGUGUUCAUUUAUUUUUGCCCAUAAGGAUACACACAUAUAGUAUCAGGAAGGCAUUCCUGUUACAAAUUGGUACUAGUUAGCUGGCCCUUUAAGAGAUAUCUUCCCUCCUUCCCUGAGUAGGAAUUCUAGAUUUGAGCCAGCAUACUCUAUUGGUCAUAAUUUUGAUUAAAAAUCACCAGCAACAGUCUUUUGUCUGUUGUAUAUAUUUUAGAGAAAAUCCUAGCUAAAUUUAUGUAAUUCAUCUGCUGUAACUAUUGUAAUAUUCUCUGAAAAUAGCUAUCAUAAUCCUGGAGAAUGGAGAAGAGACUAGAGAUUUGGGUAUUAAUAAAGAUGUUAGACAGACGAGACAUUUUGGAUAACACUGACAAAGAAGCCAGUUUGAUGCUUACUGGAAUUAAGGAAAAAAUGUUAGAAAACAAUAAAUGCAUUCUUUUGAGAAGCAUGCAACUGAUCUGAACCAUUGUUAAUCAUUUCCAAAUGGAAUGCAUGGUAAAAAGUUCCCACGUGUGCUCUGUGAAUGUAGCACACUUCCGUUGCCAUUUUCCAUGUCCUACCAACAAAAUGGAUGCCACCCAUUGACGUAGCAUAUUUUGUUUCUCCCACACUAAUUUUCCCUUAUUUUAAAAAUUUUACUGUAAAGGGAUCUCUACCAUAUGCUUCCCUCUCAUUAAAAACAAUUUACAGAGAGCCUACUCCACACCAGUCACUCUGUUACUUAAUGGUCUCCACUUUUAAUGGAAUAAUAACUGCCUUUGAAGGCUUACAAAUUUCUAGUGAUAUCACAACAAGCAGCUAAGAAAAGUUGAUUAUUUUACGUCUGUAUAACUCAAUGUUUGAAGCUCUUAAGAGGUUAAGAGAAAGAGUACAAAUAAAAACAACAGAAAGGUAACUUUGAAUCAGACAUUUCAUAUUCAGUUUUCUAUUGUCUGCUUAGAACAUUUCAGAUCUACCAAAAUAUUGGUAGAUCUUAAUAAUACAUAAAUAUAUUACUUAUUCAUAUUAAUAAUUAAUAUAAAGAAAUUACAUUAAUUUCUUUUGAAAAGGUUAAUUUUAAGUGGUGAUUAUGCUACCUGUACUUGCAGAACUGUAAUUGCUUGCUUGUUUCCUUUUCCUCCCUCUUUCUUUCUUCAGUCACUCAUUUUUGAAAUUUAUUUACUUAUUUGCUUAUUAUAAUUUAAGUUACUAGCAUCCUUGACUGACAACAAAUAAAUGUAUGUAUUCUAAUAGCAAUGGCUAAUUUAUAAAAAAUCCAAGUAGCUUGAUUUCCCUGUGAAUAUCAUCUACUUAGUUAUUUUCCUACUAAGAUUAAAGCAUGCUAUUUUGCUACCUAAGGAAAAUGGUCUAUAGAAUGUGCUUAGAUUUUUCAAAGGAUAUGUACCACUUAAUAAAAUAAGUCAAUAAAAAUAUAUAGUUUAGCUAACAUCUGACAUUAUACCCUCCAAAUACAACAAACAUGUUCUCCAUUUUCCCAUUGAAAAGCCACUUGGAUAUGACACCCUUCCAACAGAAGCUAAUCCUAACUCUUCUUGUCAGUACCACUGGCACUUAGCAGCUAUUAAACAAAUUCUAGAGACAAUCUAAUGAAACACUUCUAUCACAGCAGGAAAAAAACAAAAAAAAACAAAACCAAAAAAUGGCUUCUAAGAUGAGUCACUCAAGGCAGAGAUGUAGAGAGAGGCUUUUACAAAGGCACCUCUUUCUGUUUCAUUCUUUAGGUUGAGUUCUGCUGAGAAGGAAAUGGAAUCGAACAGUUUUUGGCUUUAAAACCACCACAAACAUGUUUAACUGAGGCAGUGCGAUGCCAUCCCUAAAAAGGAAUAUGUUAAUAGAAAAAAAUUAAAAGCUAUAAAGUUAUCUGGCGCAUUAAGCAUCAGAGUCUCAUUAGAGAGGUGUUUAUUUCAAUUCCUCUCUUUUAAGAAGAAUAUGGGAAAACUGAAGAGGGUUCAAAGAAGAGCCCCAGAAAUGAUCAAGGAAGAGCAACGAACUGAAGGACAAAUUUUAAAAGGAGUUGAGUUUAUAUUAAUAUAUUACAACACACAAAAAUGUUGUAACUGCAUUCAAUAAGUAAUGAAUAUUCUCUAUGUACUUUUAUCUCAAGAUAGACAGAACCAAAGAGAUAAGGGUACAAUCAAAAUGACAUAAUUAUGUUAGGCAUGCAAAAGAACUGUUGGAGGAACGACAAUAAUUAAAUAUACAGUAGAAUCUGUAGAAACCUCAUCCUGGUAGAUAGAAAAGGCAAAACUGUCCCCCUUGGAGAAAGUUUAAGUAAAUGACGUCUUCACAGGAGACAGAGACAUAUACAAUUAGACUUGAGGAACCUUCCAGAUCCAGAAUUCAGACUGCCAAAUAUUUGGAUUUGACUUCUGUUGAAUAAAUCUGGAUUUCCAACUAAAAAUAAGAAGUAUGAACUUCAAUGAAUACUGGCAAGAAUAUCUUAUCUGCAUAUCUUGGGGUAAAGGGAGGGUUACUCGGUUAUCCCUUCUGGUGCAGGUCUCCCACUCCUCUCUGGGUCUGAGCAAGCUCAGAGCUCUGCCAGCACACUGGGGGUCUCUGGGCUUGCUCCAGCUGUGCUAGGAAACCUUCUUUGGCCAUGGCAUCCUGCCUCGGCUGUCUUCCAAGCUUCUAAAAAUAUUAGAAGUCUACAAAUCACAAUGCACAACUAGUAACAAUCCUUGCCACUUCUCUCCUGUUCUACCCUUCUUCUCUGUUGCCUAGGUUUUUCAAAAACUGGCCAUAGAGUUCAUCCCUAAGUUCAGGACCCAUUUAUAUAUUCCUUCAAGAAUUACUAUCUAUUUGGUGUUCUGACUUCUGAAAACCAGAUGCCUUCCUUAUCUUUUUGCAACACGAGUUUUGGAUACUCCUGAGAUCUUUCUCAUCUGGCCCUCUGCUAGACUUGCCCUUCAAUGGGAUGACAACUGGAUUGCUGGUACUUUAUGUCUCCUUAGUAUAGUGUACAUAGCUAGAGCCAUGAAUUAAUACAUCAUAUGGUCUUUUGACUUCACAGCUAUAUAUAUAUUUAUAACUCAUAAAUAAUUUUAAAUCAUGAAAAUGCCAAAAGUUUCCUAGGCCAUAUACAGAAAUUUUUAGGGUAGGAUUAACUUCAGGUGAAUGUCAUGCUUCCCAGUUCUUAGUGUGCUGAGAGAGGAGGAAACUACAAAUAUCGAGGAAGCCACUCAGCACAGCACUAAGUGUUAGCCAUAGAGGUGGAGCAGGUCCCAGAGGCUUUUGCUCUGUCAAACUAAGGGUCAAGCCUCUCCAUAGGGGCCAGGGCAAAGGUCUCAUCAGUGCAGCUCUUUACCAGCUGUGGAGUAUUUCACUAUUAGCAAUCGGUAUAGCCAUAUUCUCACUUCAGCAUAAUAUACAUGUUAAUUUUAAUUAGUAACAACAACACUGGUCAGACAGAGGCAGAGAAGUAUAAAUACAUAUAUAUUAUUUCUAGAGAAUAGCAAAAUAAAAUAGAUAAUUUCCACUAGGAGUGGUAGAGGUUUUUUAAAUGUUCAUAGGCACAUAUGUUUUGGAAACUAAAGUGAUUUGGGGUUUUAUCCCACAUAUUACUAUUUUAGUGCAAUAUUAGGCAAUACCUACUGCAAUAUUCACAACACUUACAGAAAAAAUGUAAGGAAUCAGAGGCAUGGAUAGGACCACUUCAGUUUUUGCUAACCUUCAUGGAUGAGGUUUUUGUUUUUGUUUUUGUUUUCUUCCAUGGCAUGCAGAAGUUCCUGGGCCAGGGAUCAAAACUGUACCAAAAGAGCCACCUGGGCCACUAAAGAGACAAUGCCAGAUCCUUAAGCCAUUGUGCCAGAGGGGAACUCCGUGGGUAAGUUUUAAAAUUAAAACUUAGAUUAACCAAAAAAAAAAAAAAAUUUGAGUCUGAAAAUCACUUAAUCUAAAAAUUGUAUAUGAAGAGGAUCCAGAUAAAACAUAACUAUAGGCUACAUAUAGAUUUGAAAUAAUGAAACUCCCCACAGCCCACAAAGAUUUUAAAUCCUUAUUUCAUUCUGUAAUGUAUGUUGAAACAUUAUAUAGAAUUUUAGCAAUAUAUUUUAUUUUUAUUAAUCUAUCCUGGCAUAGAAGGGCAGUAAUGUUAAAUGGAAAAGUAGGAACUACACAUUUUAUGAUAAUAAUUGGUGAAGUUUUUGCAUGUGGGUAUGUUGUAUGGAGAAACAGAGAAAAGACAGAGGUAUAGAAAAACACUGAUAGAAAUAUUGAAAUAUUUAAAACUCUGGUUAUGGGUGAAAAUUUUCCAUUUUCCACUUUUUUACAACUAAUAUAUUUUAAUAAUCGAGAUCUUUAUUCCAUACAUUUUCAAAAUUUUCUGAUUAAAUAUAAGGCAAAUUAAGAAAAUAAUUAAUUCCCCAAUUCCUCUGUUCUAUACUAAACAAAGUAAAGCAAGCAGAAUUAAUUCAACGAAUUAGUUACUUUUUUGUUAAACUUUCUAUAUUUGUACAUGUGUUUAUGUACCUGUAUACAUAAAUUAGGGAAACCUCAACUUACUUCAAAGCCAAGCAAUAAUAUAGUCCACCUAUUUUAGACCCACUUUUGAUAGAAUGACUCAGAAAGGAAAAUAAUAACCCAACUUUCCUCAGCUACAUUUAGGGGCCAGCAAGUUUGGAGUUAAAUGAGGCCAAGUUUUUUGUCUCAUAUUUGCAAAAUCCAAAAUCCCCAUACAGAAUUAUCUUGAAGAAUGCAGAAAUGUAACCAGUGUUUAGAAUUCUGACCUCAGAACAUGUGUAUGGCCUAUUUUUUUUUUUUAACCAAAGCAUUUUCUCUUGAUGUUUCAGUGGUUGGAAUUAAUUUUGGAAGCACAAGGUACAAAGUGACAAGAAUCACCUCCACUUUGGUUGUUGUUGAUGAUUGCUACAGUGUUCCGGUAAUUGGCAGUGUUUUGUAGAAUAGAAUUGAUCGCCUAAUGUGUGCUUUUGAAAUCUACUGUAUCUUUAGCCCAACAUAGAUCUAUUUGCUACUGACUAUCAGUAAGCAUCUGUUUUGCUUCAGAAGAUGAAGAUCUAGGAAUAAGAUAAGAAACGUAUUAUUGGGAAAAAAACAUCAUUGCCCCAUGAUUGGCUUAAAAUACUACAGAAAAUAAGAGGAACAGAUGAAAUAAGAAUGGCAACAUGUUGAUAGUAGCUAGAGUCAGGUCAUGAAAUAAAAUCAUUAUUCAAGAGAGUAUAGAGUGAAGUGCUAAAAUCGUUCCAUAAUCUAUAUGUUAAGAUGUCUCCAAGAGAGGGAAAUAUUUAUGAACUGGAAGGGUCAGGCUAGAAUUCACGAAGAAGAUAGGACAUGUUGGGCCUUGAAAAGAUGAUGAUGAUGAUAAUGGUUGAACUGAGCACAUACUUAUGCCAAGCACUGUGCUUUAAAUAAUUAUCUCAUUUUGUCUUCACGAUACCUUGUAAAGUAGAAAUAUGAUUAUCUUUAUUUUACCGAUAAGGAAACUGGGGUAUAAAAGAUUAAGUUACGUGCCAAGGGAGGGUAGGAUUCCAAACCUGCCAUCCUGUUUCAGAUUCCUAUGCUGAUUUCCUGUCCCGUUUCAAAUAAUGAGAUAAGUUUGGAAAAUACCAUCCAAGAUGAUUCCUAUGCACAAGCCUGCCUAGAUUUCUCAGAAUACCCUUUCCUGAUGGUCUGCACUGUUCUGUUCUCUAUCUACUUGUUGAGACCUGGUUAGUUCACCUGAGGCACUCUAAUACUAAACUUAUGUUGAGUCAUGAGUAAGAUUGCCCAGGGCUUUAGAGUUUGCCAAAGAAAAAUCUGACUGCUUAUCGGAAUAACUUAGGGAGCUUGUUAAAACUACAGAUUCACAAAUCCCCAGUUCUUGAAAUCUGCAGUUUUAAAAAAUCGUUCUCCCAUUAAUCCAGGGCUGCUAGCUUGUGGCUUAUCCAUGGAUCAGUUGAACCAAAGACCUAACUAACUCUGGUGACAAAAAUCUCUCUCAGAUCACAAUGUCUGUGAGGCCAUGCUAGUAUUCAUUUAACAAGCAAACAUUUAAUCAGACUAACUGCCAGUCAGCCACUAUGCCAAAUUCUG